UAGCAAGGCUUGGCACAUGAAGUUUCAAGGUAUGCUUCAAAUGUGGCCUUAUUCCAUUCGGAUUCAUACAACCAAUCAUCACUUGUCACUUGAGGUUCAGAGAGAUACAUCAAGUAGGCAUUUCCAUACUCGAACGGUGAAUGUCGAAGCGGCAUUGACACUCGUUUGGUUUCACCACAAGGACUAUUGAAUUGGCAUUCCCACCUAACGUAAAAAUAAUCGUCACGCUCGUUAUUGUCCUGAAGUGCAAGAAUAGCA
rnacentral:misc_RNA from 1 species